CUGCCUGGUUCAAGUAAUCCAGGAUAGGCUGGUUAACACCUGUACGGCCUAUUCUUGAUUACUUGUUUCAGGAAC
rnacentral:pre_miRNA from 8 species